GAAAAAUUGUGAAAAUUUCAAGGAAUCAAGCAAGAUAAGGUGGUGAGCUAUUUGAUAAGGAUAAAGAGAUUACACCAAAGACCGGGACUAGGAAUAUUUCUACUCUUAAUACUUGGGGGUUCUGUGGACCAGCCUAAGAGAGAGGGCACAGAAUUAGAUAUACCUUACCUCGAUCGAAGAGCCGUGUGGAAGGUGUCUCUGGAGGUAAAGAUUUAAGUGAACUUCACGUGGACCACCGUGUGAGAGUGAGACUCAGCCAACGCCAAGGCAUGGCUGGAUUUUCAAAUGUAAAAAUAUGUUCAUGUGUGUACUACACUGAACAGCCUUAGCAGACUUGAUCAGAUGCCUAGGCCAAGGCAUCCUUGGGAAUGAUGUUGGCAAGAGCCAAGUUUUGUGAAAUACAUAAGCCAAUUGAUUAUUUGAGUAAAUUGAUUAUUGAUGUUAUGAAAAACAUACUAGAAUGGAAUAUCUU
rnacentral:sRNA from 1 species